rnacentral:rRNA from 1 species
AUUGAACGCUGGCGGAAUGCUUUACACAUGCAAGUCGAACGGCAGCACGGACUUCGGUCUGGUGGCGAGUGGCGAACGGGUGAGUAAUACAUCGGAACGUGCCCAGUCGUGGGGGAUAACGUAGCGAAAGCUACGCUAAUACCGCAUACGAUCUAAGGAUGAAAGCGGGGGAUCGCAAGACCUCGCGCGAUUGGAGCGGCCGAUGGCAGAUUAGGUAGUUGGUAGGGUAAAGGCCUACCAAGCCGACGAUCUGUAGCUGGUCUGAGAGGAUGAUCAGCCACACUGGGACUGAGACACGGCCCAGACUCCUACGGGAGGCAGCAGUGGGGAAUUUUGGACAAUGGGCGCAAGCCUGAUCCAGCCAUUCCGCGUGCAGGAUGUAGGCCUUCGGGUUGUAAACUGCUUUUGUACAGAACGAAAAGGCUCUGGUUAAUACCCGGGGCUCAUGACGGUACUGUAAGAAUAAGCACCGGCUAACUACGUGCCAGCAGCCGCAGUAA